GGCAAGAUGGCCGAGCGGUCUAAGGCGCCACGUUAAGGUUCUUCUCAAACCCUUAAUCAUUCUCAACUCUAGAGUUCCGUGGUCCGAAAGGGCGUGGGUUCGAAUCCCACUCUUGUCA